AUAUUGGCAGAGAGACUGAGUUGCCUUCAGAGCGGCGCAACCAUCGGCAGGCGGUUUCCUCUUCUCAGGCCGUCUCCCGUGUGGGAAGAGCCAGAUUUCUGUUACUGUGGACGCUGCCUUCCUAGUCCGAGCUAAGCGUUCAUACAGGAAUCAUCUAAGCUCCUUACAGCAGGAACUUACAGAGUAUUUAAUCUUGUUCUGCAGUGAGCAGCAAAAAAAAAAUCUUCAAGAUCUGCAGCCCGGGAGGCGGGGGAGCCAGCAAUGUCUGAGUACUGUCAUCAUCUGUCUCCCAGGCCAAAGCAAAC
rnacentral:lncRNA from 1 species